GAUGAACGCUGGCGGCGUGCCUAAUACGUGCAAGUCGAGCGAACAGACGAGGAGCUUGCUCCUCUGACGUUAGCGGCGGACGGGUGAGUAACACGUGGAUAACCUACCUAUAAGACUGGGAUAACUUCGGGAAACCGGAGCUAAUACCGGAUAAUAUAUUGAACCGCAUGGUUCAAUAGUGAAAGACGGUUUUGCUGUCACUUAUAGAUGGAUCCGCGCCGCAUUAGCUAGUUGGUAAGGUAACGGCUUACCAAGGCGACGAUGCGUAGCCGACCUGAGAGGGUGAUCGGCCACACUGGAACUGAGACACGGUCCAGACUCCUACGGGAGGCAGCAGUAGGGAAUCUUCCGCAAUGGGCGAAAGCCUGACGGAGCAACGCCGCAUGAGUGAUGAAGGUCUUCGGAUCGUAAAACUCUGUUAUUAGGGAAGAACAAAUGUGUAAGUAACUAUGCACGUCUUGACGGUACCUAAUCAGAAAGCCACGGCUAACUACGUG
rnacentral:rRNA from 1 species